AUCUAUAGCUGGUCUGAGAGGUGUCAGCCAACACUGGGUCUGAGNNNCGGCCNACACUCCUACGGGAGGCAGCAGUGGGGAAUAUUGGACAAUGGGCGAAACACUGAUCCAGCAAUGCCGNGUGAGUGAUGAAGGCCUUAGGGUUGUAAAGCUCUUUUACCAGGGAUGAUAAUGACAGUACCUGGAGAAUAAGCUCC
rnacentral:rRNA from 1 species